rnacentral:rRNA from 1 species
GAUGAACGCUAGCUACAGGCUUAACACAUGCAAGUCGAGGGACCGGCGCACGGGAGCGUCACACGUAUCCAACCUGCCCUUUACUCGGGGAUAGCCUUUCGAAAGAAAGAUUAAUACCAGAUAUAAAGGAUGGGGAUGCGUUCCAUUAGUUGGUUGGUGAGGUAACGGCCCGCCAAGCUUUAGCUGGAUAGGGGUUCUGAGAGUAAGGUCCCCCGUAUUGGAACUGCGACACGUUCCAAACUCCUACGGGCGGUCGCAGUGAGGAAUAUUGGUAAAUGGUGGCUAGCGUGAACCAGCCAAGUAGUGUGAAGGAUGAAGGCUUAUAGGUCGUAAAUUUCUUUUACAUAAGAAUCGGUAUUAUAUGAAUAAGGAUCGGCUAACUCCGUGCCAGCAGCCGCGGUAAUAC